GUUUCAUUAAGCUGUGAAUAGACUGUUGUGCACUAUGUCUGGACAAAAUGUUGUGUCAGUGCAUAAUCACGGAAUUCAGUCUGUUUGAAUGUUUCUUUGUUUUAUUUGUUUGUUGUUCAAUAUGUUUGUAAACAAAUAAGACGGAUGUAUGAAUAAGAAUACACAAGAAACAAUGUUUUUAUUUAUUUAUUUAUUUUUUGUAUGACAUACCUUGUUCUGUGAAAGUUUUAUUUGCUUACUUACUAUAUACCCUGGUAUAGAGUUUUGUGAGAUGUACAGGUGCUGGUCAUAUAAUUAGAAUAUCGUGAAAAAGUUCAUUUUUUUAUUGUAAAUUAUUUUAAAAAAUGAAACUUUCAUAUAUUCUAGAUUCCCUACAUGUAAAGUAAAACAUUUCAAAAGUUUUUUUUUUUUAAUUUGUUGAUUAGAGCGUACAGCUAAUGAAAGUCCAAAAUCCAGUAUCUCAAAAUAUUAGAAUAUUUACAUUUGAGUUUCAUUAAAUGACCAUCCCUACAGUAUAAAUUCCGGGUAUCUCUUGUUCUUUGAAACCACACUAAUGGGGAAGACUGCUGACUUGGCAAUGGUCCAGGAGACAAUCAUUGACACCCUCCACAAAGAAAGUAAGUCACAGAAGGUCAUUACUGAAUGGGGUGGCUGUUUACAGAGUGAUGUAUCAAAGCAUAUUAAAUGCAAAGUUGACUGGACGGAAGAAAUUGGGUAGGCAAAGGUGCACAAGCAACAGGGAUGACUGCAAGCUUGAGAAUACUGUCAAGUAAAGCCAAUUCAAACACUUGGGAGAGCUUCACAAUGAGUAGAAUGAAGCCGGAGUCAGCGCAUCAAGAGUCACCACACUCAGACAUCUUCAGGAAAAGGACUACCAAGCCACUUCUGAACCAGAGACAACGUCAGAAGCAUCUUACCUGGGCUAAGGAGAAAAAGAACUGGACAGUGAACAGUGGUCGAAAAUCCUCUUUUCAGAUAAAAGUAAAUUUUGCAUUUCAUGUUGAAAUCAUGGUCCCAGAGUCUGAAGGAAGACUGGAGAGGCACAGAAUCCAAGCUGCUUGAAGUCUAGUGUGAAGUUUCUGAAGUCAGUAAUGAUUUGGGGGGGCCGUGACGUCUGCUGGUGUUGGUCCAUUGUGUUUUAUCAAGUGCAAAGUCAAUGCAGCCAUCUUCCAGGAGAUUUUGGAGCACUUUAUGCUUCCAUCUGCUGACAAGCUUUAUGGAGAUGCUGAUUUCCUUUUCCAGCAGGACUUUAGCAUCUGCCCACAGUGCAAAAACCACUUCCAAGUGGUUUGCUGACCAUGAUAUUACUGUGCUUUAUUGGCCAGCCAAUAUGCCUGACCUAAAUCUAUGGGAUAUUUUCAAGAGAAAGAUGAGAAACAGUCGAUCCAACAAUAUACAGAUGAUCUGAAGGCUCAAUAGUGCCUCAGCAGUGCCACAGGCUGAUCACUUCCAUGCCACACUUCACUGAUGCAGUAAUUUGUGCUAGGAGCAAGUCAUUUGCUGUAAUAUGUCCUGCCGAUCAAGUAUUGAGUGCACAAAAGAACAUACUUUAAAGAACUUGAACUUUUCUGUUUUGCAAAUCCAUUUUUUGAUUGAUCUUAGGAAAUAUUCUAAUAUUUUGAAAUACUGGAUUUUGGACUUUCAUGAGCUGUACGCUCUAAUCAUCAAAAUUAAAAAAAAAAACUUUUGAAAUGUUUUACUUUACAUGUAGGGAAUCUAGAAUAUAUGAAAGUUUCAUUUUUAAAAAUAAUUUAUAAUAAAAAAAUGAACUUUUUGAUGAUAUUCUAAUUAUAUGACCAGCACCUGUAUAUGAGCAUCUUACUGCAAGAAGUUGGUCUGAGAGAUUGGCGCUCCUCUCUUUCUACUUCAUCUUUUGAGAUAACCUUGUGUUUGGCUUACCUGUAGGUAUCUCUAUGUGUGUACUGUGUAUGCAAAUGUACUGAUGGGUGUUUUGUUUUGGAGUACUAACCGCUGCCUUAAUUCAGCAGAAUUCAGUGGGGGUAAGUGUAACAGAGUUAGCAGCUGUUAAUUUCAUGUUGUACUGGUGCCCUCAUGUGGGUUGUGUGAGAACUGCAGGCAUAAAUGUUCGAUAUUACGGGAGAUGACGCAACACAGCAGUUACAAUGUGUACUGCACGCAGUGGGUCAUGUAUUUGCCUGCAGCAAUGCAACCACUAAAGGGUGAUUUAUUUCAUUCUACAGUCUACAGCCUGCAGUAAAAAAAGAAAUACACCAAACCAGCAUUUGUGUUUGUGCAUUCAUUGUUCGGCCAGGGACUGAGCCGUUAGUGUAAGUGCAAACCACAUUGCAGAGUGUAGGAGAAAGACCACCUCAUCACACUAGACACAGCCUUAUUCAAUUCAAAGUGGUACAUAGACUUCAUCUAUCCAAGGCCAAGCUGGCAAAGAUGUAUUCCUCUGUUGACCCCACUUGUACAAGAUGUAAGCAGUCCUCUGCUACAUUAGCUCAUAUGUUUUGGUUAUGUCCUAGUCUGUUUUUUGGUCACAGAUUUUUGUAUCUUAUUCUAGAAUAUUUAGCAAAGAUGUUUGUGCAAAUCCUUUAACCGCCAUCUUUGGUAUUGUGUGUGAAAAAAACACUUUGUCAAAAAGUGAAUUGGACUGUAUAGCCUUUACUUCUCUGUUAGCAAGGCACUUGAUUUUGAUUAAUUGGAAACAGUCCCUCCCUCCUUCUUUUAAACAGUGGGCCAGAGAUGUGUUACAAUUCUUGAGUUUGGAAAAAAUAAGACUUCAUUUAAGGGGCUCAGGGUCUAAGUUCACUGUCAUGUGGUGUCCUUUCAUAAAUUAUCUUCAAAACCAAUUAUAACUGUAAGUCAACGAACUGAUGCUGAUGUCAGGUUUUGCAGAUUUACUGAUGUGAUUCUCUCUUUUUUUUUUUCUUUGUGCACAUAUUGUAAAAGCACAAUAUCUGUAUACAGGCUGUGUUGUUGUUGUUGUUUGUGUUGAUAUGUGAAUAUUUAUGUUGAUUGUUGUGUAAAUGAAAAAUGGAGGGAAAAAAAUUUAUAUGUAAUGAAAUUAAGAAUAAAAAAUAAGAAUAAAACUACAAUUAUCGUAAAAAACAAACAAACAAACUAUUAAGUCUGAAAUAUUUGCGUGAUCAAGUGUUUGACUGCUGGACGUUUUACUUUUAAAUGAAAUGCAUAAUCUAUAUGUAAUUCAAUCAAAGUCACACGUUUAAAAAGUCUAUAUCUUCUCUACAAACAAUGGUAACGUUAAAACGUUUAUUAAUGUUUAAAAUAUUACUUAAGGGCCUUAUGUUUAAUAGCUGGUUUGCUGCUCAUAUCUGUCAAUGUUUGAUUGAUAAACUGGGAAAUGCUGUUGGCCGUUGUUAUGUGAUGACAGUUUCAUUUAUUUUGCAAACUCGCAUGUUUAUCACAAGGUUAAAUCCAGUUAGUUAAGUUAAUAGCUAAUUACUGAGGCUUUCUGUUCUAUCUUGAACAGUGGCGUGCACGGGGGGCAGGGGGGCUCGAGCCCUUGCCCCUUUGAUCGCGAAAGUGAAAGUGCCCUUUGUGGUCGCAUAGCAGUGCACCCGUGUUCCCAUUUCUCCCUCCCGGAACGCGAUUGGCUGACUGAUGUAACUAUGUAUACUAAGUUAAAGGUCCAGGACCUGUUCAAUAGGUCAAAUUAGGUCUACUCUAUGGCUGAUUUAACAUCAGAAGAAACCACUAUGUAUAGAAAGUUCGAGAUGCAGGAUUCUUUGGCCAGAAAUAUGUUCAAUAGGUCAAAUUUACACAACUGUCUGUCUGAUGUAACAUCAGAAUGAGUCAAUAAGUAUGCAUAGGAAGUUCAUGAUCAUGGAAUCUUUGGCCAUAAAUAAGUUCAGUAGGUCAAAUAUGGACUACUGGCUGACUGAUAUAACUAUGUAUACUAAGUUAAGGGUCCAGGUUUUCUUGACAAGAAAUAUGUUCAACAGGUCAAAUUAGGUUUACUCUAUGGCUGAUGAAACAUCAGAUGGAGUCAUUGAGUAUAUUUAGAAAUCUCAAUAUAGAGGAUUCUUUGGCCAGAAAUAUGUUCAGUAGUUCAAAGAUUGGCUACUGUCUGGCUGAUGUAACAUCAAAAGAAGCCAAUAUGUAUAGAAAGUUCAAAAUGCAGGACACUUUGGACAGAUAUAUGUAUAGAAAGUUAUACAUAUGACAAAAUUUCACGUCUGUCUGAUGUAACAUCAGAAUGAGUCAAUGCGUAUGCGUAGAAAGUUCAUGAUCAUGGAAUAUUUGGCCAUAAAUAUAUUUAGUAGGUCAAAUAAGGACUAUUGUCUGGCUGAUGAAACAUCAGAAGACGUGCACUAGUAUAUAUGUGAAGUUCAUGUCCAAGGACUCUUUGGCCAAAAAUAUGUUUAAAAGGACAAAUAUGUACUACUGUAUGACUGAUUCUAGUCAUACUCAGGCAUCAAUGACUAUGUAUAGAAGAUUCAUGAUCGUGGACUCUUUGCCCAGAAAUAUGUUCAGUAGGUCAAAUAUGGACUACUGGCUGACUGAUGUAACAUCAGAAGGAGCCAAUGAGUAUGUAUAGAAAUUUCGAGACACAGUAAUGGACAGUAAUAUGUUCAGUAGGUCAAAUAGGUCAGUAGGGCUACCGUCUGGCUGAUGAAAGAAGGAGUCUAUUAGUAUAUAUGGAAAGUUCAUGUCCGUGGACUCUUUGGCCAAAAAUAUGUUCACAAGUUCAAAUAUGUACUACUGUAUGCCUGAUGAAAUUUCAGAAGGCUCAAAGAGUAGAUAUCAAGAUCAAGUAUUCUUUGGCCGGAAAUAUGUUCAGUAGGUCAAAUAUGGCCUAAUGUCUGGUUGAUGUUACAUCAGAGGGAGUCAAUGAGUAUGCAUAGAAAGUUCAUGAUAGUGGAAUCUUUGGCCAGAAAUAAGUUCAGUAGGUCAAAUAUGGACUACUGGCUGACUGAUGUAACUAUGUAAUUAUGUGACUAAUGUAACAUGUAACAUCAGAAGGAGCCAAUGAGUAUGUAUAGAAAUUUUAAGAUUGAGGACACUUUGGCCUAAAAUAUUUUCAGUAUGUCAAAUAUGUUCAAGAUUGUGGAUUCUUUGGCCAGAAAUGUGUUCAGUGGGUCAAAUCAGGACUAUGGCUGAUGUAUCAUCAGAAAGACUCAUUGAGUAUAUAUAGAAUGUUAAUGUCCGAGAUCUCUUUUGCCAGAAAUAUGUUCAAAAAGUCAAAAUAUGGACUACUGUCUGGCUGAUGCAUCAUCUGAGACCUGAGAGGUUAUAUUGCUACAAUGCAGAAGACACUACAACACAUCCACAACACAUCCACAUUGAUUCUACACUGUAAAAAUAAAAGGUGCCUGGAGGAAACUUUUGGGGUUCUUCACUUUGCCACACUGGCGGAACCGUCUGUAGAUCCUCUAGGCACCCUUUCAAAAGGGACAGUUCUCUGAGGAACCACCCAGGUUUCCUGAGGAACCCUUAUAUGAAGCAUUGUGUGGAACCUCUUUGGGUGCCUCCAGAAAAAUAGUUUAUUGCAUUAAGAUCCAUUUUAAUACAUACGGCAUGCACUUAAAAAAAAAGCAAUAGGCCAAAUAUCAAUACACAUUUGAAAAAUAGUUUACAUACAUAAGCAACAGGAAUAAUCAACUGUAAAAAAGCCCAUGUUCAGUUUGUGUUCUUUUCUUAUAAGGGCUGUACAGCUGUUAUGUUGGUCAUUGAUUUGAAUUGAGAGGGCGUGGCUUGUUUGGUGGUCGCGCGAGAGCGGAUCAGUUUCAAUGCGUGAUCAGUAGAGUGAAAGCAUAGGUUCUGCAGUCUUCUCUGAAAAGCAGCAAAAUUAUGCAAAUGAAGAUCUUUUCUGUAGCGACUCACUUUGUGAACUGCAGGGAGAAUAUUUGUGAUCUCGAUUGGCAGUGGAUGAUGCUUAAUUGUCUCAGACUUCUCGUUGAAGUUUCCUUCAUGACGAUUCUGGAAUGUGCGUCAUUGAAGACCAACCACAUUUAGAGUCAUAUACAGCAACGGGAUAAAUCAAUAAAGCACAUCAUAGACUUUGCAAUCUUCAUCGCCGACGAUACAUCGUGCAUCAGGGCACCUGAGACUGCAGCUUAACGACCAGCUUCACAUCGCUAUCCUGACAUCUGAGCGCCUUAAAGAACUGCAGAGACCAACACGGACUGUUGCACUCAUUGUUUUUCACUACAUAUUUGUGAAACCAGCCUCCAUCUGUAUCCUUGAAAUCCAAAUCUGUUAAAUAAUUCAGUUUGUUUAUUAUUUUGCGUAGGCCUACGCUCUCUAUAUGUAUGUUUUAUUUGCUAUUUUGUGAUCUGUUUUGAUUGUGAAUAUGUACACAGUGUAUUUGAUUAUUGAUAUUCAACAUCUUAAAGAGUAAAUUAGUACAAUUUAGUACAA